rnacentral:lncRNA from 1 species
GUUGCUCGUUGUUGUCUCAUUUACUCGGUGGUCACGUGUUCGAACCAGGAUUGGGUCAAACCAAGGACUUUAAAAUUAGUAUUUGAUGGUUUUUAUUGUAUAAAGGGCAAAGACUGUUCGGCUUGAAGUCAGAAUAAAUUGCCCGGGUAGGGAGACAUAAAAUUGAGAAUGGAAAUUGGGAAUGUGUGAAAGAGACAACAAC